UCCUCGGUGGCUCAGCUGGAUAGAGCGUCUGCCAUGUAAGCAGGAGCACCUGGGUUUGAGUCCCGGUCGGGGAA